UAAUAAUAAUAAUUGACCGCGUAGUUUUUGAGUUAUGGCCAUAGCAACACCAUAGCAACGAGGGACGCGCCGUCCUGCCGACCCCUACCUCGUGACGUAACUUCCAGGAAGCCUCGCCACCACUCUGAACACGGAAAUAUAGCACCACGCUAUCCUCGCCAUAUAUUGCAAACAUUUUCUGGGUUUUACUCGCGGGAUUCGUCAUGCCAUCUCGAUGUGUAGCAAUAUGAAUUACUCACAGGAAGACUUGAGACUCUAGGAGUGGUCCAAAAAAAAACUUCUCCUGCAAAGCCACGACAGCUUUGAAAACCUACAGCAAUGCAACCUUGGUUUUCCAAAGACGAAGCCAAACAUAAAAAAUUAAGUGGCGGAAACCCUCAACACGAUGAAAAAAGCGUUGCAAGUCAGUUGCCACCCAGUUUCCCAAAAUCAAGAGAGAGUGGGUCGAGUCAUAUGAUGACCGAAGCGAUGCGGUGUCCAGCGAUGACAACUGAAGAGAUCCUAUGAGGCCUGCCAGAUGCUGAAUUUCUUCCGUCUGCGACAUCAGAUGACGAUGAUUUAGGAGAAAUAAAUGUAGCAAAUUUUGAUGACAUGAAAUCAUAAACUAGUCAUAUAUACAGUACACAUUUUUUAAAAGAAAAAUCAAGUUACCUUCAUAUUUUAAUGAUAAUGCAUUAUCUUUGUAUAGAGAACACUUCAUGCUACAGAAAAGAGUAAAUACAUAUUUCCCACUGCCAUUAUCAUUUUUCAAUGUUGCGCUAGUCCGUUGCUAUCCUAACUUUGUGUUGCUUACUAAAAUUAUGCUCUUUGAUGUGUGCCGUUGUGUGCUUGGUAUAACAUGUUGUGUCACAAUCUGACAACGAAAGCUAAUGCUGAUUCAACAUAAACCUGGUAUCAUUUAUUAUUGCGGCCUAUUGAAUAUUUUUUCAGAAUGUAAUAUAAUUACAAUAUAUUAUAUACCAAUAGAAUACAUUAAACAGUCAACAAAAUGUGUCAAUAUUGUUAACAAUUUAU